CCCGGGGCGUGACAAGCGCUCGGCCUCGCGUGGGUUCCGGUGGCGAGCAAUGUGCUGCCGGAGUGGUUCCGAACUUUCGAUGCUCGAAGGGAUGGGGGCGGAGGCAGGGGACAAAAAUUCUUUUUUUUUUUUCGUUUUGAGGCUUUGAGCGAGCGUGCCGCGCUUUUUUGGGCGAAAAAUUCAGCGGCGGCGUUUAAUUUGCGAAUAAUUACCUUAAACCCAAAAUGUCACGCCCCGAGCCCGCCUAUUUGGCCGGUUUCGGGCACGCCGACAGACCGCCGAACGGACAGGGUUUCCCCGGUACCGCGGACAGAGUCUCCCCUGUACAUUCAAGGCGUCGCAAUCAAUACAAUGUACAAAGUUCCAACCAGGAACACAUUUCAAUCAAAGAUUGCAUAAGGAAGUAUCAAAAACAUAAUCUACUUGUUAUUACAAGCAUUCACAUUCAUACAUUUUACAUCCCAAAUACUUAUUACAUUCAACUUCCAAAUACAAUCCGAUUUAACAUGAUUAUUACAACUUGAUUCUUUUCAUUUUCUACAACCCUAAGCAAAGCCGACUCAGGGUACCGCUAUCUCUGGUCUCGGUGGUAGGGCGCUAACUAUGAUGCUACGCCCUCGCCUCGCGCCGCCGCGCCGCUCACGUGUGAACCUGUAACACCCCAAAACCACGUGGGGUGAGAACCAACUCCAUGGUUCCCAGUGGGUACGGCCACCCAAGGGAAAAGCUCGACCAAUAGGUCCAAGGGAGGCAACUGCAAGUUAGUUCAAUAAACAGAUAGAUAUAUAUCUUGAUUAUGCAACGAAUAAAACCAUGCAUUGCCUCACGAAUGCAAUAUGAAGAUCAUGCAAUGAUGCGACUAUACAAUCAACUAGUAAUUCAAUCGAUUACUACUUUCAUCCAAUUGACAUUUAAGGUUUUCUGUCAUUUACCAUUUUAAUCAUAAAGUUUCAUCUAUCUUUACAAAGCUAACCGCCCGACUCGGUCUUGAGUCAAUCGUCUGCGGAGUACCGCACAAAGCCAGGCCCGAGGCGAAGGACGUCUCACUUGCACCUCGGCCUUAAAUCCCCUCAACUAGGACAUCACUAUAGCUCAUAAGUUUAUUACCCAAUCACUUGGCUAACCCGAAGGUUUCGCCCUCAACAAACUCACCAACCCAAAAUCCCAUUAACCGGGGAGAUACCCGCUACAACCCGGUGGGACCGUCCUCUGGGGAGAUACCCGCUACAACCCAGUGAUGUCGACUCCGGAGCACAUCGCCCGAGGGGGAGCUACCACAACCUCGAGCAAGGACUAAAGGUGAGUAUGAUCAAUGAUCAAAUCCAAAAUCUUGAGGAUGUCAAGUUCAAUCCAUUCCUUAACUUUAGGAAGACUAUGCUCAAAUGACCCUAACUCUAGGGUUGAAAUGUCAUAAUAUUUCCAUCAUUCUUUUCUUUGCAUUCUUUACUAUCACUUGUGUCAUAUACACUACUAUAUUCUUGGACUCAUGCCACACUUGUUUUCUAAGUGUUCAACAUACCAUAAGUGUUUCCACUAUACUAAUCAUAUGCCACUCGAUCUAAUAUAUAUAGAUUGUCCACGUCACAUAUCAUAGUUCAUAUGUCAUUGUUUUUCAAUGUCGAGUUCUCUAAUUCACCUAGAGUUUAUCGACCCAAGUUCAACAUGCAUGUGUCAUUUAACAUAAUCCACAAUAUGUCAAUAUACAUUCAUCUAGUAUAUUCUACAAUAAAUCAACAUGCACUCAUUCAUCAUAUUCCACAAUAUGUCUACAUAUAUAUGCCAACCAUUCAUAUGCCAUCCAACAUGUUCCAUAAUUUAUCAACAUGCAUAUUACCUCUAACAUAUUACUAUAACAUUAUUUUCAUGCAUUCAUGUAACAAUUAACUCAUGCAUUCAUUUAGCAUUAUUUAACUUGCAUCUUAUCAUUACGCAUUUCUACUUGGCAUUUACAUUAACAUGCAUCAUUUUCAUACUUCAUUUACAUCUAUAUGCAUCAACAUGGAUUCUUAAUUUGCUUAGACAUAAAGGCGACCUAGUCGCUUCGGUAAGCACAACCCACCUUAACUCGCGUUCCGAUUGCUUGUAGUCACUUGCAAUCGGCCUCCCGCAGCACCCGGCACCCGGUUUGGCCCGAUCUCUCGCGCGACCACCCGAACGGCCUCUAAUCCACGAUCCGAAAAUUAAGGGUCUUCGGUUAUGUGCCACGAUACUUCAAAUCUAUUUCCACGAUUUUACGACGUCGCCUCGGCCCUCCCGGCGGACCCGAAGCCUAAACGUCCAUUUCUUUAAUAACUUUGUAACGGCUCGUCGGAUUGCCGAACCGUCUUCGCCAACGCGUUCGUUUACCUAGCAAUUUGGUUUACGGAGCGUCAAAUGAGAUCAAACCCAUAUAUUUUACAAAACCCCAUUCGGAGCCCUAACAUGCAAUUAACCUCUACAUAGUCCAAAUUAAAUAGAGAGAGCAUGUUUAGAAUGCUCAUUAGAGGCUAUUAGAACACUUAGAACUAAGGAUUAAGCCAAAUUCUAAAAGCUUACCUCAAUGUGAACGCCGCGACGAAAACACGCCGCUCCAACGGGCGCACGAAAGCUCAAUCCGUCGCCUUCAACGCGUUCGCAAGCAUUUUCUCCACCAACCCCGCGAAUUUGAGCGAGAGAUAUAGAGAGAUGAGAGAGAAAUCUAGAGAGAGAAAGGGAGUCUCCCUACCAUGUAUGCGGGUUGGUGGUGGCGUGUAUGGUGGUCGGCUGAAGGAGAAGAAGCAAAAGCUUCUUUAUACAUUACACCCCAAAACACUAUUCACUCCAGGACAGUUUAGCAGUUCGGAGCAGUUGGAGCCCUUUUGGAUGUCCGUUUGGGCUCAAAUUUGACAGGCAGGCUCGGUUUAACGUACUGAGUAAGAAUAUAUCUUAAGUUUUCAGUUUCGAUCUCGUUUGGUCACUGAAAACUAUACCGAACUGUAAUCUUUAUCAGAUAGCCGUCGGAUUUUAUUUCUCACUCUACGGGUGUCAGAAAAAUAUGAAACUUCAAAUCUAGCCUCAUAAAAAUAUUUCUGACUUAUUCUCCAAUUUUCAUAAUUUUCUGAGACUGUGCAUUUUCUGCUAAUUUAUCUGUCCCGUUUCCAACAGAAAAUUCUAAAUCUUCUGUUUUCAUUCCGAUUUCAGCACAAGUCACUUCUGACUUAUGUUUUACUUCUACAAAUCCAAUAAAAAUAGUUUCUCACACUAUUUUUAUUUAUUUUUAUUUUUACACCAAAAUCUGGUAUGUUACAUUCUCCACCUCUUAAAAGAAUUUCGUCCGCGAAAUUCAAACCAUGCCUCAAUUCAGCUCCACGAGCAAUUGAGGGUACUAACUCAUUCUCCCACUCCAGAGCGGCUUCACACUAUUGUGGUUCCAGAAGCGGCUCAUACUGAAGGACGUGGGUUUAAUCCUAAACACAUUUGCAAAAUGUGAUAUAAAAGUGCAUCGCGAGUCUUGCAAGUCAUAAAGGCAGUGCAAAUCGAUACUCGAUGACUCUACGCGCUCCAACACCACUCACCAUUCGGUAUACAAAGAACUCUUCUUUGCACUUACCUUCCCUUCAGGGAAUAUAUUCUAAUUCGAUCACCGACAUUGCUUAGAAGCAAUAUCACCGAUGCAUCGCUCCGUCGUGAGUGCUCUAAUUUCGCACUGACCCUUAACUUUAACGUGAGAUGGCCCACUUCGGCACAUCUCAAGUCUCAGUUCGCUUACGAGCAUAGUUUCCAACAUCACGUGGCUUUCCACUAGAUUGAUGUCUCACAAGGAGUACUUCAUCAUCUGAUACCACAUGCCACGGUCAAUCAUCGAACUAUUUCCGCAACGAGCUCACACGAGCGCUUCGUUCGUGAAUUCGAGUCAAACCCCUCGAUAAGGCUAUCCGCCAAAUCGCCCUCUUCGGUCUCCACAGGUGGACCAAAGGCCACCAAUCCUACGUGGGCCUACCGCCUAAACCUGUCUCAAUACGCAACGUCUCUCGCUCGCAAACGCAGACCCAAUCAUGAUCGGGCGAAACUCUCACUUGGGAAUUCGCACACACUCCAACCAGGAGCAACUAAGAUCCCAAACCGUUACAAAUUCCCUGGUUGGGUCACACUCGUACUCUCGGUGUACUAUCAAUCGCACGACACGCUCUACCGAGCCACACGUACUACUACCGGCUACUAUGCAUCUAAUGCGAGUCACCUGUCCCACGAGUGAUCCAUGGCAUGCUUCACACCUAGCAAUGCUCAAGUGCUACUGCCAACUCACUCACCCGACUGAACCAUAUCCGCACUCCACGAGUAUCUAUACUUGAACGUCAUACGCCUCCAUAGCGUUGCACACUAAGUCCAGUGUUAGGCAAUCCUGCCUAUGCAUACCGGCCGCACGAGUACAACCGCCUACCUCACCUUGAGGUACUACUAGGCCCACGUGCUCAAACUUGGCCACUAAUCGACCGUUCUCUCAACAGUGAUGCUACUUUCACUGUUUGAUCUACCGGAAUGACAUCCAAAAUUUUCGGACCACUCGGGUGUUAUCAAAUACCACGGCUCAACUCUCGUAAUCUACUAAUUAAGUUGCUCUGAGAGUCGAUUAGCCACCUCUGUCUCUAUCGCGAGUUUCACUACUCGCCAAAGGUCACUACUAGCACUUCGCUAGUGCCAUCUGGCUCUAUACCUAUACUAGCAGGUACUACGCCCUCACAACACGAGCAUGCCCGGGUAUCGAUACUUACCCGUCCACUCGGUCUCUACUAUGGUCAUGCACGACAAUAGUAAUUAACCACAUAAUCAUUGCAUACAAUGCAUGGACUUCACGUCAUGCGAAACAUAUGCUUGCAUCAAUAACCCAUACCUGCAACGAAGUCGGCAACAGCAAGGUCCUCAACCUGGGUCGCAUAUCUAUGACCACCCGGCGCUUGCCGCGAACCCUAAGGUGACAUUGUCUUUAAUGCCCCCUCUUCCGACCGGGCCGCAGGUGCCACACCUGUAGGCCGUCCCAGAGAGAAAUAGGUUGUCGCCAGUGUUAGGCCCCGGCUGUCACCUUGCAGACACUCGUCCCGCGCACAGCCCGGUUGCCCACACCUGUAGCACUUGCCCUCUCACAGCUCGCAAUACUGUGGGUAACGAAAACACCCACAAACGACACAUCUCACUAAGGACCGAACACAGUAGGUCCCCGGAACACGGAAUCACGAGCGCGAACUUAUUGCACUCACUUGAGAACUUGACGGACCAUCGAAUCCACUCGUUGGCCGUUCUAUUUCCCUUUUCCUUGCAAUUGGACUCACGCUCCCCUCGCACAAUUGCACUGCCUUGUUCUAUCCCCAAGGCCUAAUCCUCAAAGCUCCUCUAAUCCUUCUCUUUAGAAAAACUCAUGUGGAGUGAGAGAAGAAGGAACAUGGAGUUGAAGGGGUACCUCCUUGCUGUGAACAAGGAAAGAAGAGGUGUGGGGUUUAUACAAGCCGCCACAACUGCACUUAAACCCCCCAACGUUUCUUGUUUGCAGCAGAUCUCAACCUGCUGUCAGACCCAUUGUGUACCGAUACACGGGCUUUUGUACCGGUACAAAGCUGUGCAGAGGCAAACCCGAGAGCAACCUCCUCGGAUUUUACCAAAGGGUACCGGUACAAAUCAGGGGUGUACCGGUACACUUCUGCGAAAACUCAAACCCGAGAGCAAUGCUCUUCUCGGGCCACUUGCUGUACCGGUACAACCAUCAACAUGUACCGGUACACUUUCCUCCAGAACGUAGUUUUAGCUUGUUUUCGACUCCAACUAGCACCGAUAGAUGCUAAAACCAUUCUAACUCUUUUAGAGCCCAAUUCUUAUCCUUCCAACAUCGUCGGAAUGUCAAUUGGACUUUAUCCAACUAUUGCUCUCAACGCACUUUGGUCAAUUUUACUAAAGUUUGAUGUUUAUUUACCGAAAUUUCAGUACGUUACAUUCUCCCCUCCUAAAAGGAGUUUCGUUCUCAUUAUCCCGCUCUAUGUCCGGGAUGCAAUUCACGACACGGGAGAAUUCCUACUCGUAUUCCCUCACGGCGCGGUCUACCUGCCGCAGCUUCGAGAACCUUUCCUGAAGCUUUCUUUUCCAUCAUCAGGGGAGUAAACAGAGAAUACCGAUCCCCGAAACUCGUCCCAAACCACAGGAGGGAGACCAGGCAGUCGAUCCCACUCAACGCCUGUCCACCACACCUUCGUCGCGACUCCCGGCUGUACUUAACGAGCCGGAACUGGUGUGAUCACUACUAAUCCCCCAACUCUUGGAGUCUCUUAACUCGCUCCUCCCGGCAUAUGGCAGCCUUCUGCUGACACUGCACUAAUUCGGCUCAUUACCCCGCCACACACACGAGAGUGGCAAAUCGCUCGCAAAGUCUCAAGUCUCCGCUCGUCUCAAAUUGCCCAGGGACACCACUUGGCCCAACCCGCGCCGAUCUAAACAAAGAUCGCCUACGCAGUGCUGUCGUUUCCUAAAACGCGACAACUCUAUUAAUCCUCGACCUUCUAGGUCGAACACGAGACACUUAUUACCGACUCAAAUCGAGCGAAAGUCACGCAAGGGCGUCUAUUCUCAUCACACGGUUUCAUGUUGUGCGCGCCCAACACGAACACCAUCGGUUGAGAAUAAACCACACUUUAAAUCUACCUCUAAUAUCCGUUUCAGAGGUUUACGACACAACGCAAUCAAUUAACCUUUCGCCAAAAGUCACAAGUCUUCGUCUCUCACGAACCUUAAUCUCCUAUGGUUUACUAUCCUAGGGUCUUCUAGGUCCAACUAAACCAUUUUCUAUUAUUCUUUUUAUGUUCUUUUUAUGCUCUGAUACCAUCUUAUUUGUCACGCCCCGAGCCCGCCUAUUUGGCCGGUUUCGGGCACGCCGACAGACCGCCGAACGGACAGGGUUUCCCCGGUACCGCGGACAGAGUCUCCCCUGUACAUUCAAGGCGUCGCAAUCAAUACAAUGUACAAAGUUCCAACCAGGAACACAUUUCAAUCAAGGAUUGCAUAAGAAAGUAUCAAAAACAUAAUCUACUUGCUAUUACAAGCAUUCACAUUCACUAGAUACAUUUUACAUCACAAUUACUUAUUACAUUUAACUUUCAAAUACAAUCUAGCUUUUAUUACGAAUUAUUACAACUUGAUUCUUUUCAUUUUCUUACAUCCCUAAGUAAAGGCCGACUCAGGGUACCGCUAUCUCUGGUCUCAGUGGUAGGGCGCUAACUAUGAAGAUACGCCCUCGCCUCGCGCCGCCGCGCCGCUCACGUGUGAACUUGUAAUACCCCAAAACCACGUGGGGUGAGAACCAACUCCAUGGUUCCCAGUGGGUACGGCNNNN
rnacentral:lncRNA from 1 species